CUGUGAAUCUAGCAGCAGCUGUUGCCUCUGCCUAUGACAUAAUAAUAGUACCCUCCACCCAGAUGUGACAAUCAAAAACUUCUCUAGAAAGUGCCAAAUGUUCCUGCAGAGAAAUCAGUCACCUCUGGUCAGAAACCACUGGGGUGGUGAUGCUUUUUGUAGGACUAAUUCCACUAAGAAAACAAAAGCGGCUUUGGAAUUCCUACUCUGCUCGUUAGAAAGCGAUGGUUAAACCACUGUAUGACUCAUACAGCUGUUUUCCCUUAUGCGAUACCAGAGAUGGUGCCCAGGACACUGGGACCAGGGACCAGGGACCACUGAGCUACACCUGCAGCUACUUCUUACAGACCACAGUAACAGGAUGCGCAGCACGGAGGAGAGAAUCAAAGCACCGAUCCGCUGUGCAAAACCUGAAGCCACCCUAUGGCCUGACUCUGCCAAGAUCUAGUGGUCAACCACUCUGCCAAGAUCUAACCUGCCCGUUCCCCGUCCCAGCCUGCACGAACUCAUUUCUGGUGGGUACCUGCUGCCCUCAGCAAACUUGGGAGCAGCUACAGAGCUGUGGAGGCACAGGGGCUGGAACUACGCACGCACGCAGCGCAGCUCGAGCUCCAAUGUUGUCAGCCUUCCUCUGCUUCCCUAGCCUCAGCUCCACCUCCUCCAAACUGUGAUGCAGCCGAUCCACCAGGCGCAGGAAGUGCACGGCGCUCAGCCAAGACCUUCUCCUGUGUUGCUGCUGCUUUCAUGCAGCUCCUCGUGCUGUCUGACCACGAGGCCAGCAUGCUUGCCUCCAGCCCAACUGUCCUCCUGCCAGAAGUUACAUAACCCAAAGGGAUUCCAAGUCACUGGUGUGCGCUGUCCAUACUUUAGCAUGGCUGUGUGUGUGUGACCCCAAUACCUAUGCUACAGCCAUAUUUUCAAAAUUGAGUGGUAAAGUGACUGUCUCUGAUUUUCUCCAUGUCUGUCUCAUUUUAUCAUGUCCUUCUUUAUCUUUCCUUACCCACCAUACUGGCAGUUCC
rnacentral:lncRNA from 1 species